UUGAUGGUGGGUGCAGUGGAAUAAAUAAACAAGACACAAAAUUUACGAGGUUCCUCUACAGUCAGUGUGACUAGAGUACAUCCUCGGGGCAGCAUUGAUGCUUUCAUUAUAAUCUGAAAAUAAGAGUACAAGAAUAACUCUCUCUAUUAUCUCCUCUCCUCUUCUUUCCUCUCUCUCUUUACCGUGAUUCUCUCUGUAUUUUUGAAAGCAUUACGGAGUGCUCUAUUU
rnacentral:lncRNA from 1 species